rnacentral:rRNA from 1 species
UACGUAGGGCGCAAGCGUUGUCCGGAAUUAUUGGGCGUAAAGAGCUCGUAGGCGGCUUGUCACGUCGGGUGUGAAAGCCCGGGGCUUAACCCCGGGUCUGCAUUCGAUACGGGCUGGCUAGAGUGUGGUAGGGGAGAUCGGAAUUCCUGGUGUAGCGGUGAAAUGCGCAGAUAUCAGGAGGAACACCGGUGGCGAAGGCGGGUCUCUGGGCCGUAACUGACGCUGAGGAGCGAAAGCGUGGGGAGCGAACAGG